rnacentral:rRNA from 1 species
GGUGAACGCUGGCGGCGUGCCUAAUACAUGCAAGUCGAGCGAACAGACGAGGAGCUUGCUCCUCUGACGUUAGCGGCGGACGGGUGAGUAACACGUGGAUAACCUACCUAUAAGACUGGGAUAACUUCGGGAAACCGGAGCUAAUACCGGAUAAUAUAUUGAACCGCAUGGUUCAAUAGUGAAAGACGGUUUUGCUGUCACUUAUAGAUGGAUCCGCGCCGCAUUAGCUAGUUGGUAAGGUAACGGCUUACCAAGGCAACGAUGCGUAGCCGACCUGAGAGGGUGAUCGGCCACACUGGAACUGAGACACGGUCCAGACUCCUACGGGAGGCAGCAGUAGGGAAUCUUCCGCAAUGGGCGAAAGCCUGACGGAGCAACGCCGCGUGAGUGAUGAAGGUCUUCGGAUCGUAAAACUCUGUUAUUAGGGAAGAACAAAUGUGUAAGUAACUAUGCACGUCUUGACGGUACCUAAUCAGAAAGCCACGACUAACUACGUG